UAUUAUAAAAAAUAAAGUUUAUUUCUAGAUUAUUAAAAAUUAAUUAAUUUUAAAAUUAAAAAAUUUGGUAGUAUUUAAUAUUUUUAGAGGAACUUGUUAAUUAAUAGAUAAUCCACUAUUAAUUUUACUUAAAUUAAUAAAUUUAUAUACCGUUGUCAUCAGAAAAUCUUAUAAAAGUUAAAAAAUUUUCUAAAUAAUUAAAUUUUAAAAUGUCAAAUCAAGGUGUAAUUAAUAUUUAAGAAUUUUAUGAGUUACAGUAAAUUAAAUUUUAGAAUAAAAAUUGAAAUUUUUUUAUAAAAAUGGAUUUAAAAGUAAUUUUUUUUAAUUAAAAAAAAUGAUUAACUUUUUAAAUGUGCACAUA
rnacentral:rRNA from 1 species